rnacentral:tRNA from 1 species
UCCCUGAUAGCUCAGUUGGUAAAGAAUCUGCCUGCAAUGCAGGAGAUCCCGGUUCGAUUCCUGGGUUAGGAA